UUUUUGCCUUUCACAUCAGUUUGUUGCAGGUGACUGCGUCUCCUCCAGCCCACAAGGCUUCAAAUACACACAGAGGAAUUUUCUUUCUGGGGCCACUGCAGUGCUGCACACUGGAGGCGGCUGCACCAGGCAGCCCAUCACACCAGUACUGCCCACACAAGGAAGGGACUCAGGGGUGACCCCCGGGGUCUGGGGGGUCUGACCCUACCUCAGAGUGAAUUUCUUUCCUCCCUGGCUAUUUUUGGGCCUUGCUCACUGUGAGUGUGAAUUGUGAUGUGAGGAUUGGGAGGGCUCUCGAUAGCUGCAUCCCCUCAGCAUAUGCAGAUGAGGAAGUACAUGAGCAUCCCAUGGCCACAGGUUAAGGGAGAGAAGAGACAACCCAUUGGCAACAGGGACCAUUGCACAAGAUGGUGUGGGGAUAGUGUCCUUCUGCAAGCGGCUCAGGACCUCAGCCUGUGUCCUGCCUGGACACACAGGGAUUUGAUGUUGAGCCAUGGGCUGGCAUGUGCUUUUGGGGUGGGACACCAUCCUGGGACACAUCACUGACACGGAGGGAGGCAGACCACCCUGUGGCAGGAAUCUCCACCUGGUCACCCCUACGUGUUGGCAUGUAUGGAUUUGCCGUUGGCAAAGCUUCAUUUUUAAAAUGCAGUAGUGGCUCGAGGUCACUUACAAUAGAGGCUUUAAUUAAAGCAGAGAUCAAUUUUUGUCAGUGCACGAGCAGAGCACAGUCUGUACUUUUCCUUCAGGAGCCACGUCCGCUCGCUCGUACAGAACGCGCCACAGGGAGGGGGGAGCUCUGCAGAAACAAAAUGAAGCACCACAGUGAGUUUGUGAUGCCAGGGACCAAGAGCUGCUGGAAAAACAGCUGUAUCCAUGAUUGUAUCUGUGAUUGCUGCACACCCACACACACACAGAGCCCACGGUGCAGGCAGGGCAGAGCAAAGGCGUUUGCAGGAGGAAGCAGUGGCAGGAGGGUAUUUGGCAGGGACUGGUCUCACCGGAGUGCAGGAGCUGGCCAAGGCACUGCGGGGUGGCAGCUCUGGCCGUGUCCAUCAGCAUGCAGGGCUCUGCACUGCUCAUCCUCACGGGACCGCAGAGCAGGGGCUGCGUAA
rnacentral:lncRNA from 1 species